AUUGGGCGUAAAGAGCUCGUAGGCGGUUUGUCGCGUCUGCCGUGAAAGUCCGGGGCUCAACUCCGGAUCUGCGGUGGGUACGGGCAGACUAGAGUGAUGUAGGGGAGACUGGAAUUCCUGGUGUAGCGGUGAAAUGCGCAGAUAUCAGGAGGAACACCGAUGGCGAAGGCAGGUCUCUGGGCAUUAACUGACGCUGAGGAGCGAAAGCAUGGGGAGCGAACAGGAUUAGAUACCCUGGUAGUCCAUGCCGUAAACGUUGGGCACUAGGUGUGGGGGACAUUCCACGUUUUCCGCGCCGUAGCUAACGCAUUAAGUGCCCCGCCUGGGGAGUACGGCCGCAAGGCUAAAACUCAAAGGAAUUGACGGGGGCCCGCACAAGCGGCGGAGCAUGCGGAUUAAUUCGAUGCAACGCGAAGAACCUUACCAAGGCUUGACAUGAACCGGAAAGAUCUGGAAACAGGUCCCCCACUUGUGGUCGGUUUACAGGUGGUGCAUGGUUGUCGUCAGCUCGUGUCGUGAGAUGUUGGGUUAAGUCCCGCAACGAGCGCAACCCUCGUUCUAUGUUGCCAGCACGUGAUGGUGGGGACUCAUAGGAGACUGCCGGGGUCAACUCGGAGGAAGGUGGGGACGACGUCAAAUCAUCAUGCCCCUUAUGUCUUGGGCUUCACGCAUGCUACAAUGGCCGGUACAAAGGGUUGCGAUACUGUGAGGUGGAGCUAAUCCCAAAAAGCCGGUCUCAGUUCGGAUUGGGGUCUGCAACUCGACCCCAUGAAGUCGGAGUCGCUAGUAAUCGCAGAUCAGCAACGCUGCGGUGAAUACGUUCCCGGGCCUUGUACACACCGCCCGUCAAGUCACGAAAGUUGGUAACACCCGAAGCCGGUGGCCUAACCCCUUGUGGG
rnacentral:rRNA from 2 species